GUCACGUGACGUAAUUUGAGUUGCAUCGGUAAAGAUGGCGGCCCCCAUUGUCCGGUGGGUUCUUCACCCAUCUACGACGGCCGUCUUCCUUUCUGCGGCGGGCAGUCGGCGUCUGUUUUCCCCAGGCUGUGCGCCACCAUCCUGCCGAAGUUUUAGCGAUGGAGCCGCGGAGAAAAACACUCAUUUUGGCUUUGAAACGGUUCCGGAGGGCGAGAAGUCGAAGAAAGUGUAUAAAGUGUUUGAGAACGUGGCACCGAAGUACGACGUGAUGAAUGACGCCAUGAGUCUGGGCAUCCAUCGUCUGUGGAAAGACGCGCUGCUGCAUGCUAUGCACCCCCAGCCCGGGGUGCACCUCCUGGACGUGGCCGGCGGAACAGGCGACAUUGCAUUCCGUUUCCUGGAAUACACAUCCUCGCAAAAAGAGCGGCAGGCCAGACGGACGGCGUCGUGGCAGGACAUGUCUCACAACUACCCGGGCAACCGCGGGGAGGGUGAGGAAGGCGGAGCCCGAGAUUCCAGGGUGGUGGUCUGUGACAUCAACAAGGAGAUGCUCAAAGUGGGCAAGCAGAAAGCUCACCAUGAGGGCCUCGCUAGCGAUGUGCUCUGGGUGGUCGGGGACGCGGAGGAGCUGCCGUUCGACGACAAUCAGUUUGAUAUUUACACGAUUGCGUUUGGGCUUCGCAACGUCACGCACGUGGAGUUGGCCCUACAGGAGGCCCUGCGAGUGCUAAAGCCUGGAGGCAGGUUCAUGUGUUUGGAGUUCAGCAAGGUGACCAAUCCCAUCUUGGCCAGGCUUUACGACGCCUACAGCUUCCAGGUGAUCCCGGUUUUGGGAGAAGUGAUUGCCGGAGACUGGAAGUCAUACCAGUAUUUGGUGGAAAGCAUCCGCAAGUUUCCAGCUCAGGAGGAGUUGAAGGAACUGCUGGAGGAGGCAGGUUUUUGUUGCGCACGCUACCACAACUUGACAGGCGGCGUGGUCUCCAUUCAUUCAGGUUUCAAGCUGUGACAGACGGCAGAGCCACGGCACCCGGCGGCGUCCACCUUUUUCCAUCGGGCGUCGAAAGCCUGCAGCUGUUUUGCACGGCACCAUGAGUUCGAUUUCAAAGGACCACUAUGUCUUGGUGUCCAAUCACGAACCGAGCAGAUGGAUUCUAUGGACCCUUUCUUUGUAUGUGUUUGUGUAUGUGUGUGUGUGAAUGUAAUGAAAUGUAUGUAUCUGUAUAUAAAAUGUAUCUGCAUUCAAGUUGGCUUAGUUUUUCCUCACGUUAAUUAGGACUUAGUGGGUUCAUACAACUUGGUAGUAUGACAAAGGUAGUAAAUAAUGCAGGAUUAAAAGCAGAAUGCCAGGGGUUUAACCAAAUUGUUUCUAUGGGGCAACCGGACAUGUGCUUGGAGCUGUCCCCGGUAUCUCGUGUGAACUGGAUGCCAAACUGAAGGCUGGAGUUGGGGUAAUAUGUGGGGGUGAUAGCGUACAUUUUGGGGUAAUUCUGCACAGCAACAGAAUUAUUUUUGCAGUCGGAUACUGCUUUAGGGUCUGCGUGGACAAGUCAACAGGCUGUUGCAAUGUGGGUAA